rnacentral:tRNA from 1 species
UCCCUGGUGGUCCAGUGGGUAAGACUCUGAACUCCUAAUGCAGAAGGGGCCCAGGUUUGAUCCCUGGUCAGGGAA